rnacentral:tRNA from 1 species
UCCCUGGUGGUCUAGUGGUGAGGAAUUGGCACUUUUACUGCUGUAGCCUGGGUUCAAUCCCUGGUCUGGGAA